GCUGCUCUCAGGGCAGGUGGACCAGGCAGAGCCCUGAGGGACCAGAAGGGACACACCUCAGGGACAGGGGGACUGUCUGCGUGACCACGCUGUGUGCCUGGGACAAGCUGUUUCUUGGGGUGGUGAUGGGGGACAAAUAAGCAGGGAGACAGAUCCUGGUGGGUUUUCAAUUUCAACUGCCAUUGAAAAAAGGAAAUUCUUUAAUGGUUCAUCUGGCUCGGGGUUUUGUGGGGACUGGCCUUUGCCACAGAGCUCAAGGAUAUGCAGAAAACCUGACAUCAUCCUUUGGGGCUGAACACCCUGAAGCGUUUUCAAAUCUGUCCUUCCUUCGUACGUCUCCGAACAUAACCGGGUCACUGGGAUGACUGGUGGUCUGACCUGGGUGACAGUUCAGGACCCAGUGACCCGCGUUGAGCACCAGUGAUCUUGUAACCAUCGGAACGGCACUUACCCUCACCUCAAGAUUCCCCCGAAACGGCUGCUCCUACAGGGGACACCCUUGAUCUGUGCUCUCCCACCGAUUCUCUCCUCCAGAGUCCCAGCCGGUUCACCUCCACAAAUGCGUCUCCCAUCAUUUCCCGAGUGCUCCCCUCUCACUGCGACGGUGCAUCUGCCUGCCUUUCUUGCUUCAUUACGGCCGGCUUCAGCUCAUCGUUCACAGAGCAGCCAAAAGGGCUUUAUUCAAAUGCCCAUCUGACCAUGCCCCCUUCCUAUUUAAGGAUCCCACUGUACUUGCAACAAAAUAAAAACUCCUCAGCAGGUGUCUGGCCCCUUUUCCUCCUGCACCAUCUCCAGCCACCUCUGCUCAUUCAAUUUCAGCCACACUCCCCUUCCCUCUCUUCACGAAGGAGCCCAAGCGUGUCCCGCCUUUGGGGCUUUGCCUUCCCUUCCCUCUAGGCCUCCACUGCUUGUCCCCAAGACAGGAGUUUGCCAGUUACUGUUCAGCAAAAAUGUCCUGUCCUCAAAGACACCCUCCCUCCCCGGGUUACGACAGCCAUCCAGGUCCCUCUGUCCUGUUCCUGGAUUUGCUGAGCAGUAUCUUAACC
rnacentral:lncRNA from 1 species